rnacentral:rRNA from 1 species
UACAGAGGUCUCAAGCGUUGUUCGGAUUCAUUGGGCGUAAAGGGUGCGUAGGCGGGAUGGCAAGUCGGUCGUGAAAUCCUUCGGCUCAACCGAAGAACGUCGGCCGAUACUGCCGUUCUUGAGGGAUGCAGAGGAGAUUGGAAUUCCCGGUGUAGCGGUGAAAUGUGUAGAGAUCGGGAGGAACACCGGUGGCGAAGGCGGGUCUCUGGGCAUCUCCUGACGCUGAGGCGCGAAAGCGUGGGGAGCAAACGGG